rnacentral:rRNA from 1 species
UGCAGUCGACGCGGUCUUCGGACCGAGUGGCGCACGGGUGAGUAACACGUAACUGACCUACCCAGAAGUCACGAAUAACUGGCCGAAAGGUCCGCUAAUACGUGAUGUGGUGAUGCACCGUGGUGCAUCACUAAAGAUUUAUCGCUUCUGGAUGGGGUUGCGUUCCAUCAGCUGGNUGGUGGGGUAAAGGCCUACCAUGGCGACGACGGAUAGCCGGCCUGAGAGGGUGGCCGGCCACAGGGGCACUGAGACACGGGUCCCACUCCUACGGGAGGCAGCAGUUAGGAAUCUUCCACAAUGGGCGCAAGCCUGAUGGAGCGACGCCGCGUGAGGGAUGAAGGUUUUCGGAUCGUAAACCUCUGAAUCUGGGACGAAAGAGCCUUAANGCAGAUGACGGUACCAGAAUAAUAGCACCGGCUAACUCCGUGCCAGCAGCCCCGGUAAUACGGAGGGUGCAAGCGUUACCCGGAAUCCUGGGCGUAAAGGGCGUGUAGGCGGAAAUUUAAGUCUGGUUUUAAAGACCGGGGCUCAACCUCGGGGAUGGACUGGAUACUGGAUUUCUUGACCUCUGGAGAGGUAACUGGAAUUCCUGGUGUAGCGGUGGAAUGCGUAAAUACCAGGAGGAACACCCAUGGCGAAAGCAAGUUACUGGACAAAAGGUGACGCUGAGCCCAAAGUGUGGGGAGCAAACCGGANUAGAUACCCNGGUAGUCCCCACCCUAAACGAUGUACGUUGGCUAAACGCAAGAUGCUGUGCUUGGC